rnacentral:rRNA from 1 species
ACUCCUACGGGAGGCAGCAGUGGGGAAUAUUGGACAAUGGGCGCAAGCCUGAUCCAGCCAUGCCGCGUGAGUGAUGAAGGCCUUAGGGUUGUAAAGCUCUUUCACCGGAGUAGAUAAUGACGGUAUCCGGAGAAGAAGCCCCGGCUAACUUCGUGCCAGCAGCCGCGGUAAUACGAAGGGGGCUAGCGUUGUUCGGAAUUACUGGGCGUAAAGCGCACGUAGGCGGAUAUUUAAGUCAGGGGUGAAAUCCCAGAGCUCAACUCUGGAACUGCCUUUGAUACUGGGUAUCUUGAGUAUGGAAGAGGUAAGUGGAAUUCCGAGUGUAGAGGUGAAAUUCGUAGAUAUUCGGAGGAACACCAGUGGCGAAGGCGGCUUACUGGUCCAUUACUGACGCUGAGGUGCGAAAGCGUGGGGAGCAAACAGGAUUAGAUACCCCAGUAGUCC